UUAAUGCAUGCAAGUCGAACGAAAGCCCUUCGGGGCGAAAGUGGCGAAAGGGCGAGUAAUACGAUCGAACGUACCCCAAGGUGGAGGAUAGUGCCGGGAAACUGGCGGUAAUACUCCAUGUGCUCUUCGGAGGAAAGCUUUGGCGCCUCGGGAGCGGCGAUCGUCCUAUCAGGUUGUUGGUGAGGUAAAGGCUCACCAAGCCGAAGACGGGUAGCGGGUGUGAGAGCAUGACCCGCCGCAUCGGGACUGAGACACUGCCCGGACUCCUACGGGAGGCUGCAGUAACGAAUAUUCCGCAAUGGGCGAAAGCCUGACGGAGCAAUGCCGCGUGUGGGAUGAAGCAUCUACGAUGUGUAAACCACUGUCAGGGACUAGGAACAAUGACCAGUCCCAAAGGAAGGGCCGGCUAAUUCAGUGCCAGCAGCCGCGGUAAUACUGAAGGCCCGAGCGUUAAUCGGAAUCACUGGGCUUAAAGGGUGCGCAGGCGGCCUGAUAAGUAGGAUGUGAAAUCUCCCGGCCCAACCGGGGAACUGCGUUCUAAACUGUCAGGCUUGAGUGAGAUAGGGGUGUGCGGAACUUCUAGUGGAGCGGUGAAAUGUGUUGAUAUUAGAAGGAACACCAGUAGCGAAAGCGGCACACUGGGUCUUAACUGACGCUGAGGCACGAAAGCUAGGGUAGCGAACGGGAUUAGAUACCCCGGUAGUCCACGCCGUAAACGAUGAGUACUAGUUGGGAGGCGCCCUAGGCAUUUCCCAACGUAGCAAAAGGGUUAAGUACUCCGCCUGGGGCGGAUGGUAGCAAGGCUGAAACUCAAAGGAAUUGACGGGGGCUAACCCAAGCCGUGGAGGCGGCGCCUUACUACGAGGCAUGCCGAGAGCCCUGACUCGUGGUUUGCUCUGUAUGU
rnacentral:rRNA from 1 species